GACGCAUGCAGGCGGCCUGUUAAGUCAGAUGUGAAAGCCCGGGGCGUUAACCUCGGAAUUGCAUUUGAAACUGGCAGGCUAGAGUCUUGUAGAGGGGGGUAGAAGUUUCAGGUGUAGCGGUGAAAUGCGUAGAGAUCUGAAGGAAUACCAGUGGCGAAGGCGGCCCCCUGGACAAAGACUGACGCUCAGAUGCGAAAGCGUGGGGAGCAAACAGGNAUUAGAUACCCUGGUAG
rnacentral:rRNA from 1 species